rnacentral:rRNA from 1 species
ACUCCUACGGGAGACAGCAGUGGGGAAUAUUUGCACAAUGGGCGCAAGCCUGAUGCAGCCAUGCCGCGUGUAUGAAGAAGGCCUUCGGGUUGUAAAGUACUUUUCAGCAGUGAGGAAGGUGGGUAUGUUAAUAGCAUACUCAUUUGACGUUAGCUGCAGAAGAAGCACCGGCUAACUCCGUGCCAGCAGCCGCGGUAAUACGGAGGGUGCGAGCGUUAAUCGGAAUUACUGGGCGUAAAGCGCAUGCAGGUGGUUUGUUAAGUCAGAUGUGAAAGCCCGGGGCUCAACCUCGGAAUUGCAUUUGAAACUGGCAAAACUAGAGUACUGUAGAGGGGGGUAGAAUUUCAGGUGUAGCGGUGAAAUGCGUAGAGAUCUGAAGGAAUACCGGUGGCGAAGGCGGCCCCCUGGACAGAUACUGACACUCAGAUGCGAAAGCGUGGGGAGCAAACAGGAUUACGAUACCCUGGUAGGCUCU